UGACCGCUGGCGGCGUGCCUAAUACAUGCAAGUCGAGCGAACAGACGAGGAGCUUGCUCCUCUGACGUUAGCGGCGGACGGGUGAGUAACACGUGGAUAACCUACCUAUAAGACUGGGAUAACUUCGGGAAACCGGAGCUAAUACCGGAUAAUAUAUUGAACCGCAUGGUUCAAUAGUGAAAGACGGUUUUGCUGUCACUUAUAGAUGGAUCCGCGCCGCAUUAGCUAGUUGGUAAGGUAACGGCUUACCAAGGCAACGAUGCGUAGCCGACCUGAGAGGGUGAUCGGCCACACUGGAACUGAGACACGGUCCAGACUCCUACGGGAGGCAGCAGUAGGGAAUCUUCCGCAAUGGGCGAAAGCUUGACGGAGCAACGCCGCGUGAGUGAUGAAGGUCUUCGGAUCGUAAAACUCUGUUAUUAGGGAAGAACAAAUGUGUAAGUAACUAUGCACGUCUUGACGGUACCUAAUCAGAAAGCCACGGCUAACUACGUG
rnacentral:rRNA from 1 species